rnacentral:rRNA from 1 species
UCGGCUAACUCCGUGCCAGCAGCCGCGGUAUACGGGGGAUGCAGCGUUAUCCGGAUUUAUUGGGCGUAAAGCGCCUGUAGGUUGUUUAAUAAGUCUGUUGUUAAAGACUAGGGCUUAACCCUAGGAAAGCAAUGGAAACUACUAGACUAGAGUGUGAUAGGGGUAGAGGGAAUUUCUAGUGUAGCGGUGAAAUGCGUAGAUAUUAGGAAGAACACCGGUGGCGAAGGCGCUCUACUGGAUCAUUACUGACACUCAGAGGCGAAAGCUAGGGUAGCAAAAGGGAUUAGAUACCCCUGUAGUCCUAGCCGUAAACGAUGGAUACUACAUGUUGCGUUUUUAUGCAGUAUGGUAGCUAACGCGUUAAGUAUCCCGCCUGGGGAGUACGCUCGCAAGGGUGAAACUCAAAGGAAUUGACGGGGGCCCGCACAAGCGGUGGAGCAUGUGGUUUAAUUCGAUGCAACGCGAAGAACCUUACCAAGGCUUGACAUACUACAGAUUUCUUUGAAAGAAGAAAGUGCCUUCGGGAAUGUAGAUACAGGUGGUGCAUGGCUGUCGUCAGCUCGUGUCGUGAGAUGUUGGGUUAAGUCCCGCAACGAGCGCAACCCUUGUUUUUAGUUGCCAAUUUAUUUGGGUUUUCUAGAAAGACUGCCGGUGACAAACCGGAGGAAGGUGAGGAUGACGUCAAGUCAGCAUGCCCCUUAUGCCUUGGGCUACACACGUGCUACAAUGGUUAAGACAAAGAGUUGCAAGCUUGUGAAAGUAGCUAAUCUCGUAACUAUYAAUCRUAAGUUCGGAUUGUAGGCUGCACUCCNC